rnacentral:rRNA from 1 species
CCUACGGGGGGCAGCAGUGGGGAAUAUUGCACAAUGGGCGAAAGCCUGAUGCAGCAACGCCGCGUGAAGGAAGACGGUUUUCGGAUUGUAAACUUCUGUUCUUAGUGAAGAAUAAUGACGGUACCUGACCAAGAAGCCCCGGCUAACUACGUGCCAGCAGCCGCGGUAAUACGUAGGGGGCAAGCGUUAUCCGGAAUUACUGGGUGUAAAGGGAGCGUAGACGGUUAAGUAAGUCUGGAGUGAAAGGCCGGGGCCCAACCCCGGGACUGCUCUGGAAACUAUUCAACUUGAGUGCAGGAGAGGUA